rnacentral:rRNA from 1 species
UACGGGGGGGGCAAGCGUUGUUCGGAAUUACUGGGCGUAAAGGGCUCGUAGGCGGCCCACUAAGUCAUACGUGAAAUCCCUCGGCUUAACCGGGGAACUGCGUCUGAUACUGGAUGGCUUGAGUUCGGUAGAGGGAUGCGGAAUUCCAGGUGUAGCGGUGAAAUGCGUAGAUAUCUGGAGGAACACCGGUGGCGAAGGCGGCAUCCUGGACCAAUACUGACGCUCAGGUGCGAAAGCGUGGGGAGCAAACAGG